AUUCGAGUCCAUUCCAUUCCAUUCCAUUCCACUCCAUUCUGUUCCGUUCGACUCCAAUCCAUUCAAUUCCAUUUUGUUCCAGUUCAUUCCAUUCGAUUCCAUUCCAUUCCAGUCCAUUCCAUUCAAUUCCAUUCCAUUUGACUCCAUUUCACUCGAUUCCACUCCAUUUCUUUCCACUUCAUUCCAUUCUAUUCCAUUCCUUUGCACUCCAUUCCAUUCCAUUUGAUUAUAUUUCAUUUGAUUCUAUUACAUUCAAAUCAAUUACAUUGCAAUCCAUUACAUUCGAGUCUGUUCUAUUCCAUUCCAUUCCAUUCCAAUCCAU
rnacentral:lncRNA from 10 species